GAUGAACGCUAGCGGCAGGCUUAACACAUGCAAGUCGAGGGGCAACACGGGUAGCAAUACCUGGUGGCGACCGGCGCAAGGGUGCGUAACGCGUGAGCAACAUACCCUAUACAGGGGGAUAAUCCAGGGAAACUUGGUCUAAUAUCCCAUAGGAUUUACAGAUGUCAUCAUCUAUAAAUUAAAGCUUCGGUGGUAUAGGAUUGGCUCGCGUGACAUUAGCUAGAUGGUGGGGUAACGGCCUACCAUGGCCAUGAUGUCUAGGGGUUCUGAGAGGAAGACCCCCCCAACUGGGACUGAGACACGGCCCAGACUCCUACGGGAGGCAGCAGUGAGGAAUAUUGGACAAUGGAUGGAAAUCUGAUCCAGCCAUGCCGCGUGCAGGAACGACGGCCCUAUGGGUUGUAAACUGCUUUUAUAUGGGAGCAAUAAGGUCUACGCGUAGACCGAUGAGAGUACCAUAUAGAAUAAGCAUCGGACUAACUCCG
rnacentral:rRNA from 1 species